rnacentral:rRNA from 1 species
UACGUAGGGGGCAAGCGUUGUCCGGAUUUAUUGGGCGUAAAGAGCGUGUAGGCGGCCUUGCAAGUCCGUUGUGAAAACUCGAGGCUCAACCUCGAGACGCCGGUGGAAACUGCAAAGCUAGAGUCCGGAAGAGGCGAGUGGAAUUCCUGGUGUAGCGGUGAAAUGCGCAGAUAUCAGGAGGAACACCAAUGGCGAAGGCAGCUCGCUGGGACGGUACUGACGCUGAGACGCGAAAGCGUGGGGAGCAAACAGG